GAGAAAGAGAAAUAGGGAGAGAGACAGAGAGAGGAGAUGAGAGGACUGCAGCAAAUAACGACCCCUUUUAACAGUAUUUUCACUAUCAGAGACCCGUCAGUGGCAGUGUCUUCAGGGGAGUAUGUUGGAGACAGUGUGAAGGUAAAAGCUUCGCGAGAAAGCAGCUCGUUUCUCGCGAGAAAUGAGGGUCUCGCGAGAAAUGGUGGAAGGAAACAAGGAGGUCUUGUCUGUAGACCCAAGGACUCAAAGAAGUAUGACGCCUGUCUCCCCAGGGCUAUUGUGAGUGAGAGGGGACACACCCUGUUCUCCACAUCCUUAAGGGUAGAAAUAGAACAUGUGUAGAAGCCUCAGGAAGACGGCCUGGGGCCCAACACAAGAGGUUUCUCCAGCUGGCGCCGACCAAGGGAGAUGCUGGUGCCCGAGGGAGGAGGCGAGUUCCGGUCACUGGAGGACUUCGGCCAUCAGGCGGAGGAAUUUGCGGAACCAUCUGAUAAAUGAGAAUCUCACCCAGAAGGUGAGCUGCACCCUCUCCCUCAAGCAUUUUCCCAGUCACCCACAGGGGAAGACAGUGCAUUCCAAGUGCAGAGCCAGAAUUGAGCUGUUGAUUGCAAAAAAGCAGGGUCCAGAGUGGAGAGGAAGGACCUCAGAACCAAGAACACGGGGUGUGGAAUGGGCGCUGUCUCCACCAAACACAGGGACCAGGCUUAUAACUCCAACCCUCCCCCCACGGUCUGGACUUGGCUCUUACCCCUUCUUCUCAAUACAUCAUAGAUUCAGCUGCUCCAAGCCCGGUCGUGUGUGCAGCCGCCAAAGGAGCCCAGGCCUGGCUGGGCUGGGAGGAGGGCCGCCUGGAGCCGGAACAGACCCUCCCACGUGA
rnacentral:lncRNA from 1 species